AUACGUAGGUGACAAGCGUUAUCCGGAUUUACUGGGCGUAAAGGGCGUGUAGGCGGUCUUGCAAGUCAGAAGUGAAAUUCCUGAGCUCAACUCGGGCGCUGCUUCUGAAACUGCAGGACUUGAGUGCUGGAGGGGAUAGCGGAAUUCCUAGUGGAGCGGUAAAAUGCGCAGAUAUUAGGAAGAACACCGGUGGCGAAGGCGUGUAACAGGGCAGAAACGGAGGGUGAGGGGGGAAAGCGGGGGGAGCAAAAAGGAUUAGAUACCCUGGGUGUCCACGCCGUAAACGAUGAAUACUAGGUGUAGGGGGUAUCGACUCCCUCUGUGCCGCAGUUAACACAAUAAGUAUUCCGCCUGGGGAGUACGGCCGCAAGGUUGAAACUCAAAGGAAUUGACGGGG
rnacentral:rRNA from 1 species